UUAAGAUACUAAGAGCAUACGGUGGAUGCCUUGGCGAUAUCUGCCGACGAAGGACGUGACAAGCUGCGAAAAGCUGCGGAGAGAUGCAAAUAAUCGGCGACCCGCAGACAUCCGAAUGGAGAAAUCCGGCUGUGAUGAUGCACAGCCAUCCAUGCCCAAGAGCAUGAGAAGGGAACCGGGCGAACUGAAACAUCUAAGUAACCCGAGGAAAAGAAAUCAAACGAGAUACCCCAAGUAGCGGCGAGCGAACAGGGAAGAAGCCCAAACCGGUGAAGGAAACUUUACCGGGGUUGAGGACCAUCAGACCCGCGAAGAACUUUAGCCGAAACUGUUGGGAAACAGUGCCGAAGACAGUGAAAGCCUGGUAGGCGAAAAAGAGAAACGCGGAGAUGGCACCAGAGUACCGCGGGACACGAGAAAUCCCGUGGGAAGCAGGGGGGACCACCCUCCAAGGCAAAACACAGAUAUCGACCGAUAGCGCAUAGUACCAUGAGGGAAAGGUGAAAAGCACCCCGGGAGGGGAAUGAAAGAGAACCUGAAACCGUAUGUUUACAAGCAGUCGGAGACCGCUUAAUAAUAAGGUCGACGGCGUGCCUAUUGAAGAAUGAACCGGCGAGUUACGAAGCCUGGCAAGGUUAAGCAGGAAAUGCGGAGCCGAAGCGAAAGCGAGUCUUAAGAGGGCGCAAGUCAGGAAGCGUAGACCCGAAACCACAGUGAUCUACCCAUGUCCAGGUUGAAACACAGGUAAAAAUGUGUGGAGGACCGAACCUAUAUUCGUUGAAAAGGGUUAGGAUGAGGUGUGGGUAGGGGUGAAAUUCCAAUCGAACGUGGAGAUAGCUGGUUCUCCCCGAAAUAGCUUUAGGGCUAGCCUCAGGGAAAAGAUUGCAGGCGGUAGAGCACUGAUCAGGAGAGGGACCUACCCGGUUACCAAACCCAGUCAAACUCCGAAUGGCUGCAAUCAUACCUGGGAGUCAGACUGCGACUAAUAAGGGCCGCAGUCAAAAGGGAAACAGCCCAGACCAUCAGCUAAGGUCCCCAAUGCCGUGCUAAGUGGCGAAGGAUGUGGCAUUUCAUAAACAACCAGGAUGUUGGCUCAGAAGCAGCCACCAUUUAAAGAGUGCGUAAUAGCUCACUGGUCGAGAGACGCUGCGCCGAAAAUGUCCGGGGCUCAAGCACGGAACCGAAGCUAUGGCAUGAUAGCAAUAUCAUGGGUAGGGGAGCGUUCUUAUAAGGAAGAAGCAUGACCGGAAGGACAUGUGGACGAAUAAGAAGUGAGAAUGCCGGUAUGAGUAUCGAAAAGAAAGGUGAGAAUCCUUUCCACCGAAAGCCCGAGGGUUCCUGAGCAACGAUCGUCGACUCAGGGUAAGUCGGGACCUAAGCCGAGGCGAGAAGCGUAGGCGAUGGACAACAGGUUGAAAUUCCUGUACCGGAUCAAGUCGAUCGAGCGAAGGAGCGACGCAGGAGGGCACAUGAUCGCGCGGCUGGAAGAGCGCGUCCAAGUGCGUAUGUUGCAGCAGAGGAAAACCCCUGCGGCUGAAAGCAGAGACAUGAUGGGGAGUUAAAGGAAACUUUGACGAACUCAUGGAUCCCACACUGCCAAGAAAAACUUCUAGCGAGACAAGAUCCGCCCGUACCGUAAACCGACACAGGUAGGCGGGGAGAGAAUCCUAAGGUGCGCGGGAAAACCCUCGUUAAGGAACUCGGCAAAUUGCAUCCGUAACCUAGGGAGAAGGAUGGCCCCCGGUCAGUGAAGAGCAGAAACGCUCAGAGCUAAAAGGGGCGGCAGAAAAGAGGCCCAAGCAACUGUUUACCAAAAACACAGGUGCCUGCGAAAGCGAAAGCUGAAGUAUAGGUGCUGACGCCUGCCCGGUGCCGGAAGGUUAAGGAGAGAAGUUAGCGAAAGCGAAGCAUCGAACUGAAGCCCCGGUGAACGGCGGCCGUAACUAUAACGGUCCUAAGGUAGCGAAAUUCCUUGUCGGGUAA
rnacentral:rRNA from 1 species